UGUUUAACUUUAUGUGACCAAAACCAAAAUUAAAAAAAAAAGUCAUGUAAUCACAAUCAUCUUUGCGAUGAUUGGAAGAAAUUGAAUCACGUGACUGCUGAGCACGACAUGACAAAAUUUUGACCUACAUGUACUUUAUGCAUUUUGUGGUGAGACAAAGUGGUAAAUACAUGUAUUUUUACCGUUAUUACGUGGUAUUUUUUGUUUCAUCCCGUGUCCUCUUCCAGUUACCGGCACCACCUUAUGCCAGUAUAUAUUUUACAUUGUAAAAUUAAAUGUUUUAUAUCAAUGUAUUUAAUAUUUGCAUGGACACGAUUAGAUGUCCAAUGUUUUCGUUAUGAUAAUUUUAUUCUGAUACAAAGAAACUGUAAAUACCAUUAGUGUUAAUGUAUAACAUUUUUGUAAAUAUCUCAUUUAAUCACGAUUUAGCGCUGCGUAAAUUAUCAUACAGUAACUAUAUAUCAUAUAUAAAAGUUACUAUACUUAUGGAGUAUAGUUUUCUGUUUACAUUAAACAUGUCGAAAGUAUGUAAUUAAAAGUGUAUUUUAUUUUUAAAUGACGUGUCUUGAGCCUUUCACGAUCUGUAGAUCAACAUCUUUAAAAAUUUUGGCAAGUCUCUUCGAAAGCAGAACUUUGAUCAUGUUUAGAAAUGUUUUUUUUUUAAUCAAAGAAACUAAUAAAUGGUUUGAUCAGU
rnacentral:misc_RNA from 1 species